rnacentral:rRNA from 1 species
UGGGGAAUAUUGCACAAUGGGGGAAACCCUGAUGCAGCGACGCCGCGUGAGCGAAGAAGGUUUUCGAAUCGUAAAGCUCUGUCCUAUGAGAAGAUAAUGACGGUACCCUGUGAGGAAGCCCCGGCUAACUACGUGCCAGCAGCCGCGGUAAUACGUAGGGGGCUAGCGUUAUCCGGAUUUACUGGGCGUAAAGGGUGCGUAGGUGGUCCUUCAAGUCGGUGGUUAAAGGCUACGGCUCAACCGUAGUAAGCCGCCGAAACUGGAGGACUUGAGUGCAGGAGAGGAAAGUGGAAUUCCCAGUGUAGCGGUGAAAUGCGUAGAUAUUGGGAGGAACACCAGUAGCGAAGGCGGCUUUCUGGACUGCAACUGACACUGAGGCACGAAAGCGUGGGUAGCAAACAGG